AACAGCUUUGGGUGGUGAGGCAGCAGCAGAGCCCCUAAGUGAAGAACUUCAGCGUAUCAAAAAAGAGAAUCGAGAAAUGAGGGAGAGAACGGUGUGUAAGAUUUGUUUGGAAGACCAAGUCUCCAUAGCGUUUAUCCCCUGUGGUCAUUUAGUGGCCUGCGGACAUUGUGCUCAUGCCAUAACAAGGUGUGCUGUGUGUAGAAAACCAAUCACCAGUAAAAUCCUCACUCACAUGGACGUGUAAGCUUCAGUAAUCAUGUGGUCAAGGUAUAUUUCUAAUUCAUUUCAAUUCCUUUUAUUUCCAUGUUUGCCUCAAAGACUUUAAUCUCGCUAUAUGUAUUUAUUGUACAUUAUUUUUGAAAUUUUGGUGCGGUUACGGUUUAUGAAUAACCAGUAUGGAUGCUGGAGAAAUAUAGCCUCAUUUUCAGCAUUAAAGUACAAUGUACAUCAUAA